UUUUUUUUGUUUUUUUUUUGUUUUUUUGUUUUUUGUUUUUUUGUCUAAAGGCAAUCUAACAGAUUGGAACCCUGAUAAGAUCGUGCCUGUACAGCCGUGCACGGGCACGAGGAGACUGUGAUCAAGUCUAUUACUCGUUACAGUACUGUGAACAUCAACAAGAACUGCUUGCAUGGAAACACUGAAUAUGGGCACGACAAUCUCUGGCUUAUGAUACUGUAUGUUGCAAAUAAUGCCUAGACCAGAGCGAUGCGGGUGCCAGGAUUCACCAGAGGCAAAAUCAACAUAGGAAUUCUAUGAGGACAAGGAGGAGGCUGCAGGCGGUUCCUGUGUCCAGCACCUCACUGCUCACUAGCUCUCUAGCGGAAUAAACUCAAGGACGCAGAGAAAUCUCUGUGUUUGGCUGAGGGGUAGUGGAUGAGGAAGAGAAUCCUUUUUUGCCUGCCAAGCAACAGUCCUCUUCCCCACAGAACAAGACAGUUUCCUUAUAAGAAGUUCACUUAAAAGGAUUAAGGGAGAAAAAGGAGAAAUUAAAAGGAGCAAGGAGGAGGAGGUGUUCUGGAAAUGGACAGAAAGAUUACCUUUAUGGUCAGCACGAAUGAGGCAUGGUUUCCUGAGCUUGAAAGGGUUCUGAAUUCAGGAAAGGACGAGUACUUUUUCCCAGAGAACAUUAGGGCCUUUGGGGGCCCCCCUGUGGCCCUGGGCUAACACUGCAUGGCUAGGGUGGAGAAUCCUGUACCACACCAGUUGGCAGGAACCUCAGGUCCCCCCAGGACUGCGGGAGGACUCUGGGUCCCUUUCAAACUCACUGUGCCGACUUCACUGCUUCUCACUGUCACUCCCCUUCCCCGCCAGGACAUGGGGAUACCAUGGACACAGAAACUGUAGAACAAGGAUGCAAAGCUACUUCCUUCCCCCUUUCUGCUCCCCCCCUUUUUUGCAGAAUGCAUAGUUACAAUUCACGUUACAGAAUAAAGAAGCAAUGAUGACCACAUAUGGGACCUUUAUGCUUUUGAAAAAAGAAAAAAAAUCCACAACCUCUUCUUAAAUUCAGUAUCAAAAUUCACAUUUGCAUAAUAAUACAUUUCAAGGCCAUUAGAGAGGAAUGAGAGAAGCACAGAAAGCCGCAUCUCUCCUCCCUUUGUCUCCUGAAUGAAGCUGAAGGAAUCUUGCGGGAGGGAUUGUUUUCCUCUUUGGGGAGUUCUGAGGAAUUAUGGAAAUGGCCCUUAGCAUUCACUUGCGGUUUCUUUAGAAGAUAGGGCAGGGGGAGAAGAGGUGGAAUUGUUUAAAACAAACACAAAAACAAAUGAAGAGACACUGCAGAUUUCUAUGCUUAACUAUAAUCAUUCUGAAGAAAUAAAAUAUGAUUUCAGAUUUUUCUUUCUUUCUCAAACACUUCCAUCUUAUUCUUUCCAAAGCUUUUUCCUUGUGUGUAAUACCCUGUUCACAUAAACAGCAACGUGAUGUGAGGGAAGUAACUGCCUUCUCAGGACACAGACUCAAGAGGGUGGAAAUGCAGUGUCCCCCCCCACGCCCCCGCACACGGCAGGAGCUCGAAAACGCCUUCUUGACAUGCAUGAAUGUGUCACAGACAUCACCAUAUUUCAGUUCCCCAGUGCUUACAGAAAAACAAAAACUAAAACAGCCACAGCCUCACACACACACACACACACACAGAUACACACACGAAGGAAAUUAGGUACUGCAGAUAGAUAAAUUCAACCUGCACCCUUGGAUGAACCUGGGUCUCUGUCAUUGUGCGCCAUCACCUCUUCCUCCCUCCCGAGCCCCAGAAUCUCUUCCACACAACUCUACACUGUGCAAUAUUGAUGCUAAUGAAAAUUCCACGGCUGUCCCUGGGGACUGCCAGGAGACUCGCUGACUUCCCUAAAGACUACACUGACCACCUUUCGGUUUUAACCCCACUGAUAGGAGAGCUUCUUCCUAAAACAGACGGUCUCUGUACUCACAAAGGCACAUUCAGAAAUACUACACUUAAGUAAUUAAUUCCUUGGACAAAAUUAAAAGGUGGGAGUGGGGUAGGGGUGGUGUUUUAAACACACUUAUUCCAACUUAUCCCGAAAUUUCUGGAAAGAAGUGUCAUGCUGAAUGCGUCACUUGGUGAGAAACUAUGUACCUUUAAAAGGUAUGUAACUUCUUGAAGGAUUCCAAAGGUUUUUGCUUUGUUUUAUAUAAAGACCCGCCCCCCCCCUUGUUCAUUUUUGGCGAACACAUUAUUUAGGAUAUACUCUCUUCCUUUCCAUAAAGCUCUGCCGUAAGGCUAGUCCUGCAGUAAGGCUGCUCCAGCUCACCUCCAGUGACCCCCUACAACCCAGCCCUCAGAGAACCAUGCACACCUGUCAGGAGCCCAGGGGAAGGCGUGCCAGAUUCCAGGGAGGUCUGGGAAAGCAGGGGAGAAGGGGAAGAAAAGCACUUCGUUUCACAAUCUCUGCUACAACGAUACUGUAAACUACCUUUGCAAUUUUUCUUUUGCUGUUCCUUGUCAGUGGUAAAGAGGAAUUACUCUUUUUUGUAAAGACGGUCUCAAUGUAUUGACCUUGGCUCGAGACGGCCCCGUGGCAAUUGGAAAGGGGGGGACUGAUAGUGUGAAAACCGAACUGAGGCACAAAGUGCUGUGGGGAGACACACUAAUUCUUUUCUAUUUAAAAACAGUACACUUCUUGCCUUUAUCUGACCUUCCCUCUACCAUGGACAAAACAAGCAAGCGUUUGUCACAACGAAGACCCCAUGACAGAGUCCGGCAGAGACCCCCCUCAGUCAGGGUGGUACCAUUCUUCCUGGUGUGCAUAGUUUCUCCUUAAAAACAGAUUAAGGUGUGUAGCUAACCAAAAAGAACUAUUUAAAUUCUGUGCGGCAAACACUGGCAGCUUCUGUCAUUUUCAUUUUUUUUUUUUAAAGUGGUGGUGGUAGGAGGUUACUACAAGAGACAGUUUAAAAACCACUCACAUGUUAGAAAUACUUGGUAAUUCCUUCUGAUUCUAGUCCGAGUGACCACACACCUAAGGAUAGCAGGAAUGCCCAGCCAGUGGGGAGUAGCUCUGUUUCCUGACCAGUGUAUCCCCUGCCAUCCUGUCAAUGUUCAUGGCCUUGUUUCUUUGGCGGUGCAGGCAGCAGGGAGGUAUUGUGGGCAGGGUAGGGAGGGUCAGUGUUCUAUUUUUAUUAAGUUAUUACUAUGUUCAUAGGUUCUUAAAGUUGAUAACUAUUCUAAAUCUAAAGAAUGUGAUGCCAGUACCUCCUUUGUCAAAUUCAAGGUCCAGGGAACAUCGUUAACAAGUAGGGACCAUCUCUGAAAAUACACACACUUUUGGCACUGGCCAUAAACCUACAGAGUUUAUUACAGGGUAUGCACUUACUCUGGAAAUACAGAGGACAUUCUAUGUGGGUUUGUUUUUUUUUAAUAGAUUGAUGAUGUUCUUGACAACAUUAUGUAUAUUGCCCAUUUCUAGAAUGUGUGGAUACCCUGUACUUGUAGAUAAGAAAGCUAAGAGGGUGUGGUGCAACGUGCAGCAGAGGGGGAGGGCAUCCUAUUUUCUGAAUGGGUUCUGAGGUCUACAGAUUGCUAAUUCACUGUAGACACACAAGCUGGAAUAUUUUAAUCUGUACCAUCACAUGCAGCCCGAGCUGUACACUCACAGGAAAGAAAACUCAAGAAUAAAAUUUCUUUUUGCAGUAACACUAAGAAACAUAGUUAAUGCAUAGGCAUGAAGUGUGACAAAACUUGGCAAAACACUGGAGAAGAAAUUUUUUUUUUUUUUAAACCAGCUAAAAAAAUGUAUCUCUACUCCUAGUAAAAGAGCUUAUAGAUAGCUAAAACAAAAGAAAAAAACCAAAAUCUUAACAAUAACCUACAAAGUGUUAUAUAUUCAAUUUGAACUCUGAGGAUGGGGUAUAAGAAGACCUUUUCUACAUAAAGACUCAAUUGUUCCCUAAUCUUAGAGAUGGCUAUUACAGCCAAGUCUGCUGAAAACAUCUUGUUUUACACUGCAGAGGAAAACAGGCUUGGCCUAAGCAUUUUGCUCAGCACAGAGACAUCUUCAUUUUGUUUAAGAGAAGAAAUGGCAUAAUACAAAAAAAAAAAAAAAAAAUUAAAAAGUACAC
rnacentral:lncRNA from 1 species